UACAGAGGUCCCAAGCGUUGUUCGGAUUCACUGGGCGUAAAGGGUGCGUAGGCGGUCGGGUAAGUCUGAUGUGAAAUCUCCAAGCUCAACUUGGAAACGGCAUUGGAUACUAUUCGGCUUGAGGAAUGGAGGGGAGACUGGAAUUCUCGGUGUAGCAGUGAAAUGCGUAGAUAUCGAGAGGAACACCAGUGGCGAAGGCGAGUCUCUGGAAAUUUCCUGACGCUGAGGCACGAAAGCCAGGGGAGCAAACGGG
rnacentral:rRNA from 1 species